rnacentral:rRNA from 1 species
GAUGAACGCUGGCGGCGUGCCUAAUACAUGCAAGUCGAGCGAACAGACGAGGAGCUUGCUCCUCUGACGUUAGCGGCGGACGGGUGAGUAACACGUGGAUAACCUACCUAUAAGACUGGGAUAACUUCGGGAAACCGGAGCUAAUACCGGAUAAUAUAUUGAACCGCAUGGUUCAAUAGUGAAAGACGGUUUUGCUGUCACUUAUAGAUGGAUCCGCGCCGCAUUAGCUAGUUGGUAAGGUAACGGCUUACCAAGGCGACGAUGCGUAGCCGACCUGAGAGCGUGGGCGGCCACACGGGAACAGUGUCACGCUCCAGACUCCUACGGGAGGCAGCAGCGGGGAAUGAUCCGCAAUGGUCGAAAGCCUGAAGAAGUAACUCAUCGAGAGAGAAGAAGUUCUUCGGAUCGUAAGACUCUCUUAUCAGUAAAGAACAAAUAUGUAAGGACCUAUGCACGGCUAGACGGUACCGAAUCAGAUAGCCACGGCUAACUAUGUG